rnacentral:lncRNA from 1 species
GCCUCCAAUUUUUGAGAAAGGCUUUGUUGUGGGAGAACUUUUUAUAAAGAUCUCCUUAGUUAAAUUUUGGCGUGGAAGUGCGUAUUCAGUCUGUGGAAUUCGUAUUUCCGGGUAUGUUUCUUAUUUAAUUUUUGUAAUGUUAUUAUUUUUAAUUGUUAGUUAAAGUUUGAAUUUUUGAAGUUUAGUUAGUGUUGUUAAUAAACUAGUUAGUUUACUAUGUUUAUUUUGGCUUGGAAUUGAUUAUGUAAAUGAGUUAUUUGUGAUGACUUUUAAUAUUUUGUGAUGAAUUUCAUUAAUUAAUAAUUAUUAAUGAUAUUAAAGUUAUUUAAUGAUUAUAUUAAAUAAUUUAGUUUAAAAAUGAUUUUAAUAUUAUAAAAAUCAUUUUAAAUGAAAAUAAGGUAUUUAAAAAUAUUUUAAGUUAUAAAAUAUAACUUUUAAUAUUUAAAUGAUAAUUUCAUUAAUAAUUAAAUAUUAAUGAUAUUAAGAUAAUAUUAAUGAUAUUUAGUUUAUUUAAUGAUUAAUAUUAAAUAAAUAGUUUAAAAAUGGUUUUACUUAUUUAAAAACCAUUUAAAGAGGAUAUUAAGGAUUUAAAAAUAUUUUAAGUUAUAAUUAAUGACUUUUAAUAUUUGGAUAAAUAGUACAUUAAUAUUUAAAUAUUAAUGGUAAUUAUUUGGGUAAUAUAAAUGUUUUAAAAAUAGUUUGAGUUAUUAUAAAUAACUUUUAUAUUUUGGCAAUGGUUUCAUUAAUAGUUUAGUAUUAAUUAAACUAUUAAUGAUAAUGGAAUUGUUUAAUGUUUAAAUCAUUUAAUUAUGAUUCCGAUAUUUGAAAGUUAUAGCCGGCCAAACUAGCUGACUUGAGAACCGAUUAUGAAGUUCUGAAUUUGAAGAAGAACACCUAUAGUAACAGUUAUAUCACUAUAGGCCCUUUAGUGACAGAUUUGAAUUAUUUUAAAUUUUUCAAUUUCUGGAAAUUGCGAAAAUGAUUAAAAAUAAGAUGUCUGAUAUUUACAGAUGUUGAGGUAUAGAAUAAGAGUCUUAGACUCAGUAUUUACCCGAUAAAGCUGUCGGUACGCCGACAAAUGUCAGACCUUAUAAAAGAAAGAAAAGACUACUGUAAGAGCAUGGAUGAGAUAUUUGAAAAAUGUAUAAAAAUAUUUCAAGUAUAGAAUAGGAACUAAAAGUAUGAUCACUGUGAUUAUGUGAUUAGACUAUGUGCUGACUGUAAUAGACAGUACUAUGUGUUAAGAUAUAUUGUUCUAAUCGAACGAAUGAUCUGAUUAUUGAUAGGUUGUGAUAAAGAGAUAAAACCUAAGUUGAGAUUUGUAAUCAGCGAAUCAGGCAAGUAUCCUACCUUUGCACUUCCUUUAUGCAAUGGACAUGAGUAAGAAGUUUCAGAAUUAUUCUAUCCCUGUACAGAUUAUGUACUCUUUGAUUAUCGACAUGUUAGCUCAGAUAUAUAUUCUGUUCAUUGAUUUCUAUAAAUGGUUAUACAAGUGUCCCCACUUGGAUAAUCAUGGCAUUUGUUCACAUGUUGAUACACCUUUGUCAAUUACCCGUAUAUAUAUGUUGAAUUACAUAUUAUUGUUGAGCAAGAUUAAAAACCUUCGGGUUUGGAACCAGGCAUGUAUGAACAUCCCUAUAUGGGAAGAUUUUUGCGCAAGGCGGAUAGAGUGAGCGAUGAAUUUCGUUCAAGUUAUGUAGUAUUGAUCAAUACAGGGUACAACGGGGCUGAUCACCCUCCGUGCCCGUAAGUUAUGACGGUUUGAGGAUAGAAUUCCGCUAAACCUUUUCGAAAAUGAAAAGAAUGUUCAUAGUAUGUUUCUUAAACCCUAUUCAAGGGUAGAGCCAGAGCCAAAUUUAAAGAAUUUGAAAGAGAGUUGUUAUGUGAAUUUUUUAUCAGUACAGAUUACUUCACAACUUUCAAUUCGUUGUAGAAGUGUUAUGUAAAGAGAAUACUUAUAUUCUUUCAGCUUAUAUAUAAUUGCUAUUACUUGCUGGGCACUUAAAUGCUCAUCCUUGCUUAAAUUAAAUGUUUUCAGUUAUGUAUGAGCAACCUGAAGGCUCAGGCACGAACAAAGGAAAAGGAAAGCUGAUCGAAUAAGUGUGUAUUAUGAGUUAAUGGUUAUAGUUGUAUUGGUAUCUAUUCAAGUAUUGUAAGAAAUGUAUUUGAAGGUCACGUACCUGGGGAAGUAAACUUUGAUGUAUGUAAAUUAAGUUCGAAUGUAUUAUUAUUUAGUAUUAUUCAGCUUAAAGAAAUGGUAUCGUGGAGAACCGAGUUCGGGUUUCAAGUACCUGGAUUUGGGGUCG